rnacentral:rRNA from 1 species
UGAGUACGAGCUGCUACGGCAGCGAAGUGGGUGAUGUCAUGCUUCCAAGAAAAGCCCUAUACCCGUUAAGGCAUCACUGCCUGUACCCGAAACCGACACAGGUAGGGUGGUAGAGAAUACCGAGGGGCGCGAGGUAACUCUCUCUAAGGAACUCGGCAAAAUGGCCCCGUAACUUCGGGAGAAGGGGUGCCACCGCAAGGUGGUCGCAGUGAAGAGGCCCAGGCGACUGUUUACCAAAAACACAGGUCUCCGCUAAGUCGCAAGACGAUGUAUGGGGGCUGACGCCUGCCCAGUGCCGGAAGGUUAAGGAAGCUGGUCAGCGCAAGCGAAGCUGGCGACUGAAGCCCCGGUGAACGGCGGCCGUAACAAUAACGGUCCUAAGGUAGCGAAAUUCCUUGUCGGGUAAGUUCCGACCCGCACGAAAGGCGUAAUGAUUUGGAUUCUGUCUCAGAGAGGGACUCGGUGAAAUAGACUUGUCUGUGAAGAUGCGGACUACCUGCACCAGGACAGAAAGACCCUAUGAAGCUUUACUGUAACUUGAAAUUGAAAUUGGACUUUAGUUGCGCAGUAUAGGUGGGAGGCGUUGAGUUUAUUCUUGCGGGAAUUUAGGAGCCAUCAGUGAGAUACCACUCUGCUAAUGUUAGAUUUCUAACUUUGCAUCAUAAUCCGGUCAAAGAACAGUUUCAGGCGGGCAGUUUGACUGGGGCGGUCGCCUCCUAAAUGGUAACGGAGGCGUACAAAGGUUUCCUCUGAACGUGUAGAAAUCGUAUCUAGAGUAUAAAGGCAUAAGGAAGCUUGACUGUGAGACUUACAAGUCAAGCAGGGACGAAAGUCGGUCUUAGUGACCUGACGGUGCUGAGUGGAAAGGCCGUCACUCAACGGAUAAAAGUUACUCUAAGGAUAACAGGCUGAUCUCCCCCAAGAGUUCACAUCGACGGGGAGGUUUGGCACCUCGAUGUCGGCUCAUCGCAUCCUGGGGCGGUAGUACGUCCCAAGGGUUGGGCUGUUCGCCCAUGAAAGCGGUACGCGAGCUGGGUUCAGAACGUCGUGAGACAGUUCGGUCCAUAUCCGGUGUAGGCGUUAGAAUAUUGAGAGGAGCCUUCUUUAGUACGAGAGGACCGAGAAGGACAUACCUCUGGUGUACCAGUUAUCGUGCCAACGGUAAACGCUGGGUAGCUAUGUAUGGAGUGGAUAACCGCUGAAAGCAUCUAAGAGGGAAGCCCACCUCAAGAUAAG